rnacentral:rRNA from 1 species
AUGGAGGUGGUAUCCGCGCUUGCCUCGGCUGAGAUUCUAGGAUCGGAGCCCAGGUCAACUGGGAUAGUAGAGGUAACUGGCAUGUCUGACUCUGAGCGGGCGGCCAAGUGGGCGCGUAAGAAACAAAAUAUUUUGUGUUAUAGAUGUGGUGGAAAGGGUCACUUUAUUGCUAAGUGUGUUGCUGAGCUUUGUGGCGCUUGUGGAAAAUCAGCACACGACUCGGGGGAUUGUCCGUUUUUGAGAGAUCAGGCACCAGCACUCAUGAUGUAUGGAGUGUAUUGUGCUGAGCUUACUUUCUUUGAAUCUCCAACGGAGAUGGAGGUUCCUGACGAGACUUUGAGUUUAACGACUGGGUUAGUCAAAGUUGCCAGAGAAGAUGUCUCGGAGGCACAGAAUGUUCAGAGGCUCAAGGAGUUAGCUCCUGGGGAUUUCCGGUGGGAGCUUGUUAGCAUCAAGGACAAACUGUUUCGGGUUGAGUUUCUGUCAGUUGAGGAUCUUCAGAGACUUCUGAGCUUCGAAAUGUGCAAGGUGCCGGAUACUGAUGGUGUGCUUGAGUUUCACGAGUGGAAGAGGAUUGAGCCUACGGGCAAGCCGCUGACUCAGGUUUGGUUGCGGUACUCUGGGGCCCCUUCCAAGCCGAUGCAGGAUGCUCGGGUCGUGGCCAGUUUGGGUAUCAUGGUGGGCAGACCAGAGCGAGUGGAUAUGGACUUCACCAGAGCCCACGGCAUUGCCCGUAUACUGGUUAGUGUGCUGAACAUCGAGUAUGUGCCUGAGGUGGUAAAGUGGGCAUAUUGA